AUCACACCUGAUUCAACUCAUCAGCUCAUUAGUGGAGACUGCAAGACCUGAAGUGGGUUUGUCAGAUAUAGGGAGACAUACAAAACGUGCAGUGCUGGGGGUACUCUGUGGAGAGGUUUGAGAACCACUGCGCUAGUGGACGCAAUACAACAAAGCCGGGAGAGUGUCUACCUCAAUCAUAUGGAAGUAGAUCGUGUACCAGGUCCUGUAACAGUGACUCUCUGUCCCAACAAUGAGAAGCGCUGCAGCAAUGGAUGUGGACGAUACUGUACGGCUCAAUAUACAGCCGGGUCAAUAUCCCAAACCGAAGAACAUUCCAAAGUGUGCUGAAAGCUGUUUCCAUGAUGGCCAGUGUCCUGCCACACAGAAAUGUUGCCCAACCACUAGUUGCCGAGCAUGCAGUGAUCCAUGUGGUCAGGGAGGUUGUCAAAGAAAUGAUCAGGGAAAUAGCGGUCAGGGAAGCGGCCAGGGAAAUAGUGGUCAGGGAAGCGGCCAGGGAAAUAGCGGUCAGGGAAGCGGCCAGGGCCAGGGAAAUAGCGGUCAGGGAAGCAGCCAAGACCAGGGAAAUAGCGGUCAGGGAAGUGGUCAGGGAAGCGGCCAGGGAAGUAGUGGCCAGGCCCAGGGUAGCAGUCAGGGAAGCGACCAGGGCCAGGGUAGAGGCCAGGCCCAGUGUGGUAGUCAGGCCCAGGGAAGCGGCUAUGGUAAAGGAAGCGGCCAGGGAAGCGCUUAUGGCCAGGGAAGCAGUCAGGGAAGCAGCUAUGGUCAGGGAAGUGGUCAAGGUAGCAGUUAUGGUCAGGGAAGCGGCUAUGGUCAAGGAAGUGGCCAAGGUAGCGUCUAUGGCCAGGGAAGCGCUUAUGGCCAGGGCAGUGGUCAGGGAAGUGGUCAAGGUAGCGGUUAUGGUCAGGGAAGCGGCUAUGGUCAGGGAAGUGGUCAAGGUAGCGGGUAUGGUCAGGGAAGCGGCUAUGGUCAGGGAAGGGGUCAAGGUAGCGGUUAUGGUCAGGGAAGCGGUCAUGGUCAAGGAAGCGGCCAGGGUAGUGGCUAGGGUCAGGGAAGUGGUCUGGGAAGCAGCUAUGAUCAGGGAAGUGGUCAGGGAAGCGGUUAUGGUCAGGGAAGUGGUCAAGGUAGCGGCUAUGGUCAGGGAAGCGGCUAUGGUCAGGGAAGUGGUCAUGGUAGCGGUUAUGGUCAGGGAAGCGGUUAUGGUCAAGGAAGCGGCCAGGGUAGUGGCUAUGGUCAGGGAAGUGGUCUGGGAAGCAGCUAUGAUCAGGGAAGUGGUCAGGGAAGCGGCUAUGAUCAGGGAAGUGGUCAAGGUAGCGGUUAUGGUCAGGGAAGUGGCCAGGGUAGCGGUUAUGGUCAGGGAAGCGGUCAAGGAGAUUGUCAGGGAUGUGGUCAUUGAAAUGGCUAUGGCAGUUUUGCAUAACACCUACUGAACAUCUUUUAAAUUCAGUGCUUUAUUUAUAUGGCAUGUUUUCUGAGAUUAGAGAGGAUUCUGUCACUCUCCACCCCCCUCCUCAAAUAAAAAGAAAUUGCUUGAUUGAAGAGUUGGUGUU
ensembl:lncRNA